rnacentral:lncRNA from 1 species
UCACGAUCAUUACUAGAAUCAUCAUCAACAUCACUAACAUCAUCAGACUCAUUCACCCUUGGUCAUUUCAGGGGUGUAAUGUUGGUAGCUCCAACCACUUCUUGUUUUGAUAUUAUCAACCUUAGUUUCCUUUCUUCAUAUGAUUUCAUGUUCUCAAGCAAGCACUCUACAUCUUUAGUGGAAUCAAUUGGCAGGAUAGAUGUAUUAGCAUUUCCUAUUCUCUUCUUGUAGUAGUAGUAGUAGUCCCACAGACCAAAUCCAAGUUCUUCUUUCAAACUCAACAACCAGACUAAGUCUACUUAUUUCCUGUCAAAUUUAGUCCUAACCCGGCACACUAAUUGUCCAUCUGCCCCCAAGAAAUGUAUCGUUACCUCCCAC